UACGUAGGGGGCGAGCGUUGUCCGGAAUUAUUGGGCGUAAAGAGCGUGUAGGCGGUUCGGUAAGUCUGCCGUGAAAACCUGGGGCUCAACCCCGGGCGUGCGGUGGAUACUGCCGGGCUAGAGGGUGGUAGAGGCGAGUGGAAUUCCUGGUGUAGCGGUGAAAUGCGCAGAUAUCAGGAAGAACACCCGUGGCUAAGGCGGCUCUCUAGUACGUGACUGACGCUGAGACGCGAAAGCGUGGGGAGCGAACAGG
rnacentral:rRNA from 1 species